AGAGAUUUACAACCGGUAGAGUUGGGUAGACCGUAGCCCAGUUCAGGUGAACGGUAGCCAGAGACUUGGUAGUGCUGCUGAGUUAGGUUCAACGUUUCCUGUGUUGCGUGAUGGUUUGAACUGAACUACACGUUUUCGAAAAUGGUGCGCAUCGUUCUUCAGCAGCCUUUGAGAGGACCGCAGGUUUUCCUGAGGUUUGUGACGGGGAGGAGCCAUCUUCCAGCACCCAUCUACAUCUUCCUUGACAAACAAGGUGUGUGAGGACAAGCUGCGCUACAACUGUGUCGCCAUCGACACUGACAUGAGUCCCUGGGAGGAGUGACCACGCCCCCUGGCCAAACUCCAGCCACCCCCUGCCUCUAUAUCAGUCUUAGACCACGUCCGUGGCCAACCCGUAUUUAUGCAGCGUUCAGAACAAGAUCUCAGAAAAUACUACUUGUAAACUUAGA